rnacentral:misc_RNA from 1 species
UCCGGCUUACGACGGCGGUCUUCCAUGAGUUCCCGGCUUUACCCGCUGGCAACAUAGAACGAGGGUUGCGCUCGUUGAUGGACUUAACCAAACACCUCACGGCACGAGCUGACGACAGCCAUGCAACAGGGGUCUUUGGGUCAACCUUGUGGGUUGAGGGCCUACUUUCAUAGGCUUACCCUCGAUGUCAAACCUGGGUAAGGUUCUUCGGUUAGUAUCGAAUUAAUCCACAUGCUCCACCGCUUGUGCGGGGUCCCGUCAAUUCAUUUGAGUUUCAACCUUGCGGCCGUAGUCCCCAGGCGGGAUACUUAAUGCGUUAGCUGCGGCACAAGAGGGGUCGAUACCUCUUACGCCUAGUAUCCAUCGUUUAGGGCGUGGACUAC